rnacentral:rRNA from 1 species
AUUGAACGCUGGCGGCAGGCCUAACACAUGCAAGUCGAGCGGAUGAAGGGAGCUUGCUCCUGGAUUCAGCGGCGGACGGGUGAGUAAUGCCUAGGAAUCUGCCUGGUAGUGGGGGAUAACGUCCGGAAACGGGCGCUAAUACCGCAUACGUCCUGAGGGAGCAAGUGGGUGAUCUUCGGACCUCACGCUAUCAGAUGAGCAUAGGUCGGACUAGGUAGUUGGUGGGGUAAAGGCCUACCAAGGCGACGAUCCGUAACUGGUACGAGAGGAUGGUCAGUCAGCUUGGAAGUGAGAAACGGCCCCGACACCUAGGGGGAGCCACGGUGGGGAAUAUUGGACAAUGGGGGAAAGCCUGAUACAGCCAUGCCGCGUGUGUGAAGAAGGUCUUCGGACUGGUAAGCACUGUAGGUUGGGAGGAAGGGCAGUAAGUUAAUACCUUGCUGUUUUGACGUUACCAACAGAAUAAGCACCGGCUAACUUCGUG